GGUAUUGUUUACCCCAUUUUUAGGUCCCGGAAACUUGAAAAUACCGUCUAUGAAUAAGGAACGAUUCACGGACACCCCGUAAACUACAGUAAAAAAAUU
rnacentral:sRNA from 1 species